AAAAAAAAUUUCAUAUCUAUUUUUUUUAUGAAGACAAAUUCUAGAGCCCGUUUUGCUCGUUCCGGUUCUCUUCCUCUCUCUAUAACGAUUUCUCCCUCGUGACAGCUCUACGCCGAUAUGAAAGAGAAAAUGGUGUUGGUAUCGGCGGUACGGGAUUACAUAAACCGUAUGCUGCAGGACAUUUCCGGCAUGAAGAUGCUCAUCCUCGAUUCCCAAACGGUUAGGAUUGUAAGUGUUGUCUAUUCACAAUCAGAGCUUCUUCAGAAGGAAGUAUUCUUGGUAGAAUUGGUAGAUUCCAUUUCUAAGUCAAAAGAAUCUAUGUCGCAUCUGAAAGCAGUUUGCUUCCUUCGCCCUACAUCAGAUAAUAUUCAGCAUUUGCGCUGGCAAUUAGCUAAUACUAGAUUUGGGGAGUAUCACCUAUUUUUCUCUAACAUGUUGAAGGAUACCCAGAUUCAUAUUUUAGCUGAUUCAGAUGAGCAUGAAGUUGUGCAGCAAGUUCAGGAAUUUUUUUCAGACUUUGUUGCUCUUGAUCCUUAUCAUUUCACAUUGAACAUUCCUUCAAAUCACAUUUACAUGCUCCCAGCAGUUGUAGAUCCUUCAGGAUUGCAGCACUUCUCUGACAGAGUUGUGGAUGGUAUUGCAGCAGUUUUCUUGGCAAUGAAACGAAGGCCUGUUAUUCGAUAUCAAAGAACCUCUGAUAUUGCAAAAAGGAUCGGACAAGAAAUAGCAAAGUUGAUGUACCAGCAGGAAAGUGGCCUCUUUGACUUCAGGCGAACAGAAGUUUCUCCAUUAUUGCUGAUAGUUGAUCGAAGGGAUGAUCCUGUGACACCUUUGCUGAAUCAGUGGACCUAUCAGGCUAUGGUUCAUGAAUUAAUAGGCAUCAAGGAUAACAAAGUAGAUUUGAGAAGUAUUGGCAAGUUUCCAAAAGAUCAGGAGGAGAUUGUGCUGUCAUCGGAGCAAGAUGCCUUCUUCAAAGCUAACAUGUAUGAGAAUUUUGGAGACAUUGGAAUGAACAUCAAACGGUUGGUGGAUGAUUUUCAGCAAGUUGCAAAAAGUAACCAAAACAUCCAGACAGUAGAGGACAUGGCCAAAUUUGUUGAUAAUUACCCUGAGUACCGGAAAAUGCAUGGCAAUGUUUCAAAACAUGUGACAUUAGUAACAGAAAUGAACAAGAUAGUUGAAGAAGGAAAGCUCAUGUUAGUUUCAGAAACAGAACAGGAGUUGGCUUGCAAUGGUGGGCAAGUUGCUGCGUUUGAGGCUGUGAUGAAACUUUUAAACAAUGAAAGUGUAUCUGACUUUGACUCUCAGCGUCUAGUGAUGUUAUAUGCCUUGCGGUAUGAGAAGGAAAGUCCUGUUCAAUUGAUGCAGCUCUUCAACAAGCUGGCUUCUCGAUCUCCCAAGUACAAGCCUGGGCUUAGGCUACAAUCAUGUGGAAAAAAGUUGCUCUCUUUUAAAGUGGUAAUGUUGAUAACUCUAAUACCAUUAGUUCUCAAUUGGUGAUAUGAGUAUUUAUAGUAUAAUAACUACUUUUACUAGGAUUAGGAUUUAGGAAACCCAACCCAAAGUAAGGAAAUACUAAAAUAACCUAACUAGGAAUAUACAAUCAACACUAACUAGGAAAUUCUAACAGUACCUAAAAAAAAAAGAUAACUAUUGCUUCUUAAUUAAAUUUUCUAAAUAAUAGAAAGCUACACUUUCUAAUUACAAAUAUAAAAUCUAAAAGAAAGAUCUUAAUUUUUCAAUUAGAAGUUAAAUAAAAUAAUUCCUUAAUCUUGUUUUCCUUGAUUGCAUCGUUCUCCCUCGGUUGAGAAUAUUCAACCUCAAUUUCUAUAGUGCUGAUAUAUCAAGAGCUGGAUUGAAGAAUAAGGGACUCUUAUAUUCUGGGAGCAAAGCAAUAAGAUUGAAAUGAAGAACUCUAUUUGUUCCUUAGCAUCCCUGGUAAUACCUUGUAGUCGUCAAUUUCAGCUUAUAGUCUUUGAAUUUUAGCGCACAUAAAAGCUGACUAAAGCACAAUCUAUAUCUGUGUUAUGUUUCAAUUAUUGUUUCUGUCCAUAAUGGAUGUCAAAAAUGGAAUCAUGAAGUUGGAAUUAAUAUCAAAGGAUUUUGCCAACGUUGCUGAUGUAGCAGCGUCAAGUGAUGUGGCAGUACAUUAGCAGGUGGUGUGGCAUCUGAUGUGGCGGAGAGAAGGCUGAGAUCAGACGUGAACCAGCAAACAGCGAGCAUGUUCUUAUUUCAGUUUAUGGCUGAUUCGUCAUGGACUGUUGUUUGAGAGUGGUGGUGCAGUAAUUUGGUGUUCAUUGCAUUCUAUGUGUAAUCUCCACUAGCAAAUGAAUGAAAAAAUUUGAUACCAAAAUAAUGUGAAACCAGUGUUAUUUAAAGCCUUGAGUAAGGCGAGACCUCUUACCAUAGACGCGCCUUUCCUCGCCUGACUUAAGGCGCGAGGCUCCUCAUAAUUAUGCUAACUAAUUAAAAUAAAUGCUAAGCAAUUAUAUACUAACUUAUUAAAAAAUAAAUAAUAUGAAUAUCUAAAUAGUUGACUUCCAAGUAUAUUUCAAUAUUAAAAAAUUUUUAUAUUUAUGUAAGAAUAUAUAUAUAAAAGUAUGGCAUUUCCUUCAAAAAGGCUCUCUGUCUCACCUUGGAACAAUCAAAGAGAAAAAGGCAUAAAAUUUGCAGUUGUCGAUAUCAAUAAUAAGAAGCUCUUCUAUAAUACCUAAAUGACAGAUUGUCCAAUUUCUCCUGAAGCAAGCAGGUGUGGAUAAGCGAACUGGGGAUCUUUAUGGGAAGCGGGAUCUCUUGAAUAUUGCUCGUAAUAUGGCUCGCGGCUUAAAG